UACGGAAGGCAGCAGUGGGGAAUAUUGCACAAUGGGCGAAAGCCUGAUGCAGCUAUGCCGCGUGUAUGAAGAAGGCCUUAGGGUUGUAAAGUACUUUCAUCGGGGAGGAAAAACAAAACUAAUAAUUUUAUUUCUUGACGUUACCCGAAAAAGAAGCACCGGCUAACUCCGUGCCAGCAGCCGCGGUAAUACGGAGGGUGCUAGCGUUAAUCAGAAUUACUGGGCGUAAAGAGCACGUAGGUGGUUUUUUUAAGUCAGAUGUGAAAUCCCUGGGCUUAACCUGGAACUGCAUUUUGAAACUGAAAUACUAGAGUAUCGUAGAGGGAGGUAGAAUUCUAGGUGUAGCGGUGAAAUGCGUAGAUAUCUGGAGGAAUACCUGUGGCGAAAGCGGCCUCCUAAACGAAUACUGACACUGAGGUGCGAAAGCGUGGGGAGCAAACAGGGAUUAGAUAC
rnacentral:rRNA from 1 species